rnacentral:lncRNA from 1 species
UUCUGAGUGAUGGGACUUUGGUCUUGGAAAGGCAUCCAGUGCCAUCAAUCCCUCCCAAGCUCCUCCAGGGAUAGGGUGUGGGAGGACUGGGAGCUGCCAGUAGACCCUGCCAGCCUCCCCUCCACCACCCCAUGUUGCUCUUGGUGUGCACAGCCCCACAGCAAAAAGCUUUUUGCUCUCCAACCUGACACAUCUCCCAUGAGAAACCUGCAAAGCCUGGCUCCUGCAGACCACAAGACGGGCCUGACCGUUGCAGCUUGGGGAGAUGGCUGUGCUGACCCCCAGCAGAAAGGGGUCCCUCUGGAGAUCGUCCACGUGGCUGCAAGUGACAGCUCUGCAGAUAUCCUCGCCCAAGCACACCAACACGGAUGGGUCCUCUGGAAGCAGCAGCUGACUCUCAGCCAGGAAGCCAGCUCAGCAAUGCCCUCAAUGCUACCGUUUUUGGACUCUGCAAAGUGCCUCAUUGUAUCUGUCUCUACAGAUUUCCACUUACCCAGAUGGUUUUUGUCUCUACCAUUCUAACAUCUGGUGGAUGCUGCUUCCAACAUCACUAGAAAUUGACUCUUCCAGGCAUAUUGGGGUUCCCAUGUUCACAAGGAUCUACUUCACCCAAAGAGAAACCCUCAAAGGCGCAGACCCAGCCAAGACCUCCACUUGGAAACAGCAACCUAAGAAAUCCAGAGAGAUAGAGAUAGAUGCCCCUAAGGGAAUGACUUGGAGUUUAAAGAAAUCUCAAGGAUUGGUGGAGGUGUGGAGGAAGUACCUGCAAGCCAUGGCAAAGGGAUGAGAUAUU